rnacentral:ncRNA from 1 species
UCUCAUGUCGGGCGAUUAAAAGGGAAUCAGGUGAGAAUCCUGAACAGUCCCGCUGCUGUAAGCGUUCCUUAGAAGAGGUGAACAACGUGUGCCACUGAGCUGCCUCUGUUGAAGGCAAAUUGGGAAGGCCGUUCACGCUCGGUUCGCAAGUCAGAAGACCUGCCUUUUGCCUU